rnacentral:tRNA from 1 species
GUGGGAAUAGCUCAGUGGUUGAGCAACCCAGCAUGCAUCAGGUAGACGUUGGUUUGAUUCCCCCUUUCUGCA